GCAGUAGCCGCGGUAAUACGGAGGGUGCAGGCGUUAAUCGGAAUUACUGGGCGUAAAGCGCACGCAGGCGGUCUGACAAGUCAGAAGUGAAAUCCCCGGGCUUAACCUGGGAACUGCAUUUGAAACUGUCAGGCUGGAGUCUUGUAGAGGGGGGUAGAAUUCCAGGUGUAGCGGUGAAAUGCGUAGAGAUCUGGAGGAAUACCGGUGGCGAAGGCGGCCCCCUGGACAAAGACUGACGCUCAGGUGCGAAAGCGUGGGGAGCAAACAGGAUUAGAUACCCCUGUAGUCCCUGUCUCUUAUAC
rnacentral:rRNA from 1 species